GCUGAUGUUAGGAUGGUGUAGUGAACAAG
rnacentral:piRNA from 1 species